UUAUACUGAUUAAUAGUUCAGUUUAAAAAUACUGAACUAUUUUAUUUUGAGUACAGUUAACUGGUUUCAGUUUUCUUAUUUUUUUUCUCUGAAUCACGAUUAGGGUUUCUAUUUCAUUUCUCCAUCACAAUAUCCUAUUUUCGUAUUUCCUAUCUCCUUUAAAGGUUGCCGCCACUCUUGUCGAAAGACUCGCGGAAGGCUCACCACUCGAAGGCUUUGCCGCAUUCUGCCGCCGCCACUUUGCCAUUGCCACCCUUUGUCGUCGCCACCCUCUGCCGUCGCCGCACUCUACCAUCGCUGGAAAGAAAAGCAAAUCUGCAACCUAAAGGCAUUGCAUUUUUGAAAUGGUCGUGUCACUGUGCAAAAGUCGCACUGCUUCAUCACUUAAUUUGUUUGCCAAUACUCUUCGCCGAUUCUCUAUUGGGUGAAAACACCAGUGCUCAAAGAACGCCAGAGAGUAUAGUGAAUCAAAUGAUGUAUUCUGACAUAAACUCACGAAUUGGGAGUUGCAUGCCACUGCCUACAAUGCGAAUUGGAACAAUCAUUCACAACAUUGAAUUGAACCCAGGGUAAGGUGGCAAGCUUGUCCGAGCUGCAGGAACUAGUGCAAAGAUCUCGAAAGAGCCCACAUAAGCAUAUUGUUUAAUCCAGAUGUCCUCUGGUGUUAAAAAGUUAAUUGAUUCUCGGUGUAGGGCCACCAUUGGGCUUGUGUCUAAUCCAAGCCAUGGGGAUCACAAGCUUAGGAAGGUCGGACACAGACGAUGGCUUAGUCGAAGACCUGUUGUUCGAGGAGUGGCUAUGAAUCCCGUAGAUCAUCCUCAUGGGGGAGGAGAGGGUAAAAGCAAGAGUGGUGGAAAAUGGGGAAGAGGAUCUCACUCCUUGUGGCAAGCCAACCAAGGGGGGCUAUAAGACUGGACCCCUGAAGCGCAUAGCAAAGUUAGAGAGCGAAAGGGAAAGCAACCGAAUACGCUUGUAACUUCCCUAAUUACAAAUUUACCAUUUUCACUACGAAUCUCGAGGGUUUUAUUGGAAUUGAAAGAUCCCUGAUCGAUUCUGAUUCGGAAAAUGCCUUCUUCAAGUGCAGCCGAUGUUGGAUCCAUCGACCCCACAACUGCAAGAUAAAACACCAAGCAACCCAAGGCUUGAUGUAAUCUUGAAGAUCUGUAUGACCAGAGGUUUGGAGAAGCAAAGUAGCGGAUGCAAUCCAAUGGAACAGUACCAACAAUGUGAUUCCAGUACAGAUCUGGAUUGUUUGCAGAAACGAAACUUGGUGGAGAUAUGGAGGAUGUUGGCAGCAGAGGUUGUGUUUGCAGAGGUUAGAUGAAAUGGAGGAUAGCUUGAAGAGGUGAAUCACAACUCAGAAGGCCCCCACACUAGGAAGGAAGUUGCAAUGGAGAAGCAAGCAUUGAAGUGACUCUCGGACAUGAGAAAGUGUCUAUGCAUUUCAACAGAGUUUCUCUAAUAUCAUCCAAUGUGCUAAAUGUGCUAGCUUCUAGAAACCAUAUGGAGUACACAUUUAUUUUAAUUCUAAUAUAAGAAAGUUCCCGGUGCACCCUCUAUCAAGCUAAUCUCACCCCUGCAUGUGCAUAAAGGUCUCUUUUACCCCUCUCCAUGUUUUUGGGUUGUUCUUUAUUUGGUGGGCUUGGCCCCCGCAUAUCAUCCCCUCCCCCUUGGAAAGGAUUUGUCCUCAAAUCUGAUGGUUCGCCUGAGGACUUAUUUUUGUAGACUUCACUAGAAUUCCUCCAAGGUCAAAUAUCCACCUGCAAUAAGCAUUAAACAUAUCACUAAUUAGUUUUCUAUGACCCAACAAAAUAUAUAA